CAGGUGCUGCAUGGCUGUCGUCAGCUCGUGCCGUGAGGUGUUGGGUAAGUCCCGCAACGAGCGCAACCCUAUUGCCAGUUGCUACCAGGUAAUGCUGGGCACUCUGGUGAGACUGCCCCGGUUAACGGGGAGGAAGGUGGGGACGACGUCAAGUCAUCAUGGCCCUUACGCCUAGGGCUACACACGUACUACAAUGGCGCAUACAAAGGGCAGCGAUACCGCGAGGUGGAGCCAAUCCCAAAAAGUGCGUCCCAGUCCGGAUUGCAGUCUGCAACUCGACUGCAUGAAGUUGGAAUCGCUAGUAAUUCGAGAUCAGCAUGCUCGGGUGAAUGCGUUCCCGGGCCUU
rnacentral:rRNA from 1 species